UGUAGCUGACUCUGUUAAAGGAGUACUGUGCUCGCUCUAUUCUUCUACUUUUCCCCCUGUGCACCUUUUGUAGGCUAUGAUACCUGUCGUGUGUGAGCUUCGUCUCAUUACCGGUUUCAAGGGAUUGCUGUUAUGGCUUCCCUUGCCCUUCAUAUGCCUAUGUCUUUAUACACUCUUUAAACAAGUCUAGAAUGUCUUUUGUGGGUCUAUUGACCUAUAAACUUAAUACAACUUUCAACAACGGAUCUCUUGGCUCUCGCAUCGAUGAAGAACGCAGCGAAAUGCGAUAAGUAAUGUGAAUUGCAGAAUUCAGUGAAUCAUCGAAUCUUUGAACGCACCUUGCGCCCUUUGGUAUUCCGAAGGGCAUGCCUGUUUGAGUGUCAUUAAAUUCUCAAACCUUGAUCAGUUUUGCGCUGACUUCAAGGCUUUGGAUGUGGGAGUCUUUUGCUGGAACUCUUUUGGAUCAGCUCUCCUUAAAUGCAUUAGCGGUUACUUGAUCCCCUUUCCUUGGUGUGAUAAUUAUCUACGCCUUUGAAACGAUCAGCAUUGUAUCAGCUUCUAACCGUCCAUUGACUUGGACAACUUAAUUGACCAUUUGACCUCAAAUCAGGUAGGACUACCCGCUGAACUUAAGCAUAUCAAUAAGCGGAGGAAAAGAAACUAACAAGGAUUCCCCUAGUAACUGCGAGUGAAGCGGGAAAAGCUCAAAUUUAAAAUCUGGCGGUCCUUGCGGUCGUCCGAGUUGUAAU
rnacentral:rRNA from 1 species